GUUAACUUUCCUCCCAGCCCUAUUGGGUCUCCUGGCGUCUUGUGCUCCUCCCACGCUUGGAAUUUGUAGGGAACUGCAGAGCUGAGGAAGCUGGCUGUUGGGCUGGUAGUCUCCCUCCAAAAAUCAAUCUCACCCUGAGUAUAUUCUAGUGUAAAAAGUAGUUAAUUCAGCUAAUUUAAGGGUGGGAGAGAAAAGGAAUGAGAGAAAGAGCGGAGAGGAGGAGGAAGAUCGGUGGUGUGAGGUGGGCGCAAGGCUAUGUGUGGCUCACUAGAGGUGCAUCAGAAUCUAAUCUGGCCCACCACCAAAUUUUAGUUUGACACCCCCUGGCAUAGUGCAUUUCCAAGAGAAAGAAAAUCCAAGCCCCAAUAUUUAUACGGGGGGGGGAUCUUUUAUGAGGGGUGAUUCUUGUUGCACCCCCUGUAAUUUCCUGCUGGAUCUGCCCCUGUGAAUUCGAUUCAUUGUGAACAAGAUAUUCACCAUAAUCAUAAUGGGGAUCUGAGUGUGACUGCUCGUAUGCAUAUUGGUUUGCAGCAUCUCUCAUGACUGAGAAUCUGAAGCUUUCCUAUAGUGAAAGAAAGGAGAAAGAAAGGUGAGAAAGAAAGAAAGGUGAAAGGUGAGAAAGAAAGAAAGAAACAAAGCAGUAAAACCAAUAUACAACUACAUGUGCAAAUGGAAAAGCAGCGAUUAUCUACUAUCUUCAUUCCUAAUUUUUAAAAUUGAGCUUAUGAGACAGAAAAACAGUCCAUUGCCCCUUGCCCUACUUUCAGAGAGUGACAGCAGCAGCACUAACAGGUCUUUUGGUGGGACUCAGAACAACUAUCUGGAACAGAUUUACUUUUCUUUCACUUUUUUGGCAUCUAUCUUCUUAAUAGGAGUUAAUGCUUUUCAUAAAAUUUUUUUAAGUGCUUAUAUUCUGUAGAUAUGUAUGUUUCAGACUCCUCCAUUUGUCAAGGAAAAACUUCCCACUCACAGCUGCAA